GAAACAAUACUGUUUUGUGGCUAGCAGCGAAUUAAGGAAUUUUCAUUAAUGGCAAGUGCAUAAGGAAAGUCAUGGACUGUGCCACAUUUCAUGAAAGAACAGGGAAGAAUGAGUCCUGGGGAGCAGAACUCUUACUGCCCUGAGCACAGUGAUUAACAGCAAACCAAAUAGAUGUCAUCUGUGAUGACAUCUGCUGAUGGUCCUUCAAGCAAAUGAAUGAAAGAAGUCCUGCUGAACUUACAAGUUACAUACAGGAAGAAAUUUGGGAAGACUCUUUCCAUUCCAAAGAUGAAUGUUAUUGUCCUCAUUAAGAUAGAAACACUUUUUGGAUCCUAGUCUUCUCCAGAACCUUUCUCCCAUUGGAACACAAGCCUUUUGAAGGUAAAAGUCAUGUUUGUCUGUUCCAUUACUACCCUUAUACUUAUACCAGAGCUUUACACCUAAUUGGUGCUUAAUAAUUUUUAUCAUUUAACAGCAUUUAAUAUAUAAAUAUUUAAUACUAUUUGUUGAAUGAAUAAAGGAAUAAAUUAACUUCCACCCUUGUGAAACACAGCUCAACUGCAUCUUGAAAUUGC